rnacentral:rRNA from 1 species
UACAGAGGGGGCAAGCGUUGUUCGGAAUUACUGGGCGUAAAGGGCGCGUAGGCGGCCCUCUAAGUCGAACGUGAAAUCCCUGGGCUCAACCCAGGAACUGCGUCCGAGACUGGGGGGCUCGAAUCCGGGAGAGGGAUGUGGAAUUCCAGGUGUAGCGGUGAAAUGCGUAGAUAUCAGGAGGAACACCGGUGGCGAAGGCGGGUCUCUGGGCCGAUACUGACGCUGAGGAGCGAAAGCGUGGGGAGCGAACAGG